rnacentral:rRNA from 1 species
UACGAAGGGUGCAAGCGUUACUCGGAAUUACUGGGUGUAAAGCGCGUGCAGGCGGUUCUGCAAGUGGGACGUGAAAGCGCCCGGCUCAACCGGGCGAGGCCGUUCCGAACUGCGGGACUGGAGGCAGGUAGAGGCGUGUGGAAUUCCGGGUGUAGUGGUGAAAUGCGUAGAGAUCCGGAGGAACACCAGUGGCGAAGGCGACACGCUGGGCCUGGCCUGACGCUCAGACGCGAAAGCAUGGGGAGCGAAC